AUGAACGCUGGCGGCGUGCCUAAUACAUGCAAGUCGAGCGAACAGACGAGGAGCUUGCUCCUCUGACGUUAGCGGCGGACGGGUGAGUAACACGUGGAUAACCUACCUAUAAGACUGGGAUAACUUCGGGAAACCGGAGCUAAUACCGGAUAAUAUAUUGAACCGCAUGGUUCAAUAGUGAAAGACGGUUUUGCUGUCACUUAUAGAUGGAUCCGCGCCGCAUUAGCUAGUUGGUAAGGUAACGGCUUACCAAGGCGACGAUGCGUAGCCGACCUGAGAGGGUGAUCGGCCACACUGGAGCUGAGACACGGUCCAGACUCCUACGGGAGGCAGCAGUAGGGAAUCUUCCGCAAUGGGCGAAAGCCUGACGGAGCAACGCCGCGUGAGUGAUGAAGGUCUUCGGAUCGUAAAACUCUGUUAUUAGGGAAGAACAAAUGUGUAAGUAACUAUGCACGUCUUGACGGUACCUAAUCAGAAAGCCACGGCUAACUACGUG
rnacentral:rRNA from 1 species